rnacentral:rRNA from 1 species
GGGGCUAAACCAUGCACCGAAGCUGCGGCAGCGACGCUGAUGCGUUGUUGGGUAGGGGAGCGUUCUGUAAGCCUGUGAAGGUGGCCUGUGAGGGUUGCUGGAGGUAUCAGAAGUGCGAAUGCUGACAUAAGUAACGAUAAAGCGGGUGAAAAGCCCGCUCGCCGGAAGACCAAGGGUUCCUGUCCAACGUUAAUCGGGGCAGGGUGAGUCGACCCCUAAGGCGAGGCCGAAAGGCGUAGUCGAUGGGAAACGGGUUAAUAUUCCCGUACUUGGUGUUACUGCGAAGGGGGGACGGAGAAGGCUAUGUUGGCCGGGCGACGGUUGUCCCGGUUUAAGCGUGUAGGUGUGUGUUCCAGGUAAAUCCGGUUCACUUUAACACUGAGGCGUGAUGACGAGGCACUACGGUGCUGAAGCAACAAAUGCCCUGCUUCCAGGAAAAGCCUCUAAGCAUCAGGUAACAUCAAAUCGUACCCCAAACCGACACAGGUGGUCAGGUAGAGAAUACCAAGGCGCUUGAGAGAACUCGGGUGAAGGAACUAGGCAAAAUGGUGCCGUAACUUCGGGAGAAGGCACGCUGACACGUAGGUGAAGUGAUUUACUCAUGGAGCUGAAGUCAGUCGAAGAUACCAGCUGGCUGCAACUGUUUAUUAAAAACACAGCACUGUGCAAACACGAAAGUGGACGUAUACGGUGUGACGCCUGCCCGGUGCCGGAAGGUUAAUUGAUGGGGUCAGCGCAAGCGAAGCUCCUGAUCGAAGCCCCGGUAAACGGCGGCCGUAACUAUAACGGUCCUAAGGUAGCGAAAUUCCUUGUCGGGUAAGUUCCGACCUGCACGAAUGGCGUAAUGAUGGCCAGGCUGUCUCCACCCGAGACUCAGUGAAAUUGAACUCGCUGUGAAGAUGCAGUGUACCCGCGGCAAGACGGAAAGACCCCGUGAACCUUUACUAUAGCUUGACACUGAACAUUGAGCCUUGAUGUGUAGGAUAGGUGGGAGGCUUUGAAGUGUGGACGCCAGUCUGCAUGGAGCCGGCCUUGAAAUACCACCCUUUAAUGUUUGAUGUUCUAACGUGGACCCGUGAUCCGGGUUGCGGACAGUGUCUGGUGGGUAGUUUGACUGGGGCGGUCUCCUCCUAAAGAGUAACGGAGGAGCACGAAGGUUGGCUAAUCCUGGUCGGACAUCAGGAGGUUAGUGCAAUGGCAUAAGCCAGCUUGACUGCGAGCGUGACGGCGCGAGCAGGUGCGAAAGCAGGUCAUAGUGAUCCGGUGGUUCUGAAUGGAAGGGCCAUCGCUCAACGGAUAAAAGGUACUCCGGGGAUAACAGGCUGAUACCGCCCAAGAGUUCAUAUCGACGGCGGUGUUUGGCACCUCGAUGUCGGCUCAUCACAUCCUGGGGCUGAAGUAGGUCCCAAGGGUAUGGCUGUUCGCCAUUUAAAGUGGUACGCGAGCUGGGUUUAGAACGUCGUGAGACAGUUCGGUCCCUAUCUGCCGUGGGCGCUGGAGAACUGAGGGGGGCUGCUCCUAGUACGAGAGGACCGGAGUGGACGCAUCACUGGUGUUCGGGUUGUCAUGCCAAUGGCACUGCCCGGUAGCUAAAUGCGGAAGAGAUAAGUGCUGAAAGCAUCUAAGCACGAAACUUGCCCCGA